rnacentral:rRNA from 1 species
UACGUAGGGUGCAAGCGUUGUCCGGAAUUAUUGGGCGUAAAGAGCUCGUAGGCGGUUUGUCGCGUCUGCUGUGAAAUCUGGAGGCUCAACCUCCAGCCUGCAGUGGGUACGGGCAGACUAGAGUGCGGUAGGGGAGAUUGGAACUCCUGGUGUAGCGGUGGAAUGCGCAGGUAUCAGGAAGAACACCGAUGGCGAAGGCAGAUCUCUGGGCCGUAACUGACGCUGAGGAGCGAAAGCAUGGGGAGCGAACAGG